CGGAAUUACUGGGCGGAAAGGGCUCGUAGGUGGCCAACUAAGUCAGACGUGAAAUCCCUCGGCUUAACCGGGGAACUGCGUCUGAUACUGGAUGGCUUGAGUUUGGGAGAGGGAUGCGGAAUUCCAGGUGUAGCGGUGAAAUGCGUAGAUAUCUGGAGGAACACCGGUGGCGAAGGCGGCAUCCUGGACCAACACUGACACUGAGGAGCGAAAGCCAGGUGAGCAAACGGG
rnacentral:rRNA from 1 species